rnacentral:rRNA from 1 species
ACCGGGGCGACAGCAAUAUGAAGGUCAGGCUGAAGACCUUACCCGAUUAGCUGAGAGGUGGUGCAUGGCCGUCGUCAGUUCGUACUGUGAAGCAUCCUGUUAAGUCAGGCAACGAGCGAGACCCACGUCCACAGUUGCCAGCAUACCCUCCGGGGUGAUGGGUACACUGUGGGGACCGCCGCUGCUAAAGCGGAGGAAGGAGUGGGCAACGGUAGGUCAGUAUGCCCCGAAUCUCCCGGGCUACACGCGGGCUACAAUGGUUGGUACAAUGGGCAUCUACCCCGAAAGGGGAAGGAAAUCUCUUAAAGCCAACCGUAGUUCGGAUUGAGGGCUGCAACUCGCCCUCAUGAGGCUGGAAUCCGUAGUAAUCGCGUUUCAACAGAACGCGGUGAAUACGUCCCUGCUCCUU